AUCCCAUCAUGUGCAAGGGCCUUCACUGCGAUCAGGCAGGCAGUGGGUCCAAGGUGAGAUGGGCCAUUGCACAUCGGAUUAGCUGACCUUUGCGAUUACCCCAAAUGUGGGUAACUCGGUCGUAUAAUUUCUGUUAGUCGGGACUGCGAAAAAACGCACACCUAUA
ensembl:snRNA U1 U1 spliceosomal RNA